CUACUCUGGUUUCUGUUCAGAUCAUAUAAAUCUUUCAUCUUUUACUAAAAAUCUCUGUUGAGAGAAACAAUUCUGAGUGUUCACUCAAUUUUUUGAGGCCUUGCUUGGGCGAGGCU